rnacentral:rRNA from 1 species
GAUGAACGCUAGCGGCAGGCCUAACACAUGCAAGUCGAGGGAGAGGUUACCUUUGGGUAACCAAUACCGGCGCACGGGUGCGUAACGCGUAUACAAUCUUCCUUUCUCAUAGGGAUAGCCCGCAGAAAUUUGGAUUAAUUCCUACUUGUAUCUUAGAGCGGCAUCGUUUUUAUAUUAAAGCUACGGUGUUUAAAGUUGAGUAUGCUUUCUAUUAGCUAGUUGUAGAGGUAACGGCUCCCCAAGGCGACGAUAGAUAGGGGUUCUGAGAGGGAUGUCCCCCACACUGAGACUGAGAUACGGACCAGACGACGACGGGAGGCAGCAGUGAGGAAUAUAGGACAAUGGGCGGAAGACUGAUCCAGCCAGGCCGCGUGCAGGAUGAAGGUCCUAUGGAGUGUAAACUGCUUUUGUAAGGGAAGAAUAAGGAGUACGUGUACUUUGAUGACGGUACAUUACGAAUAAGCAUCGGCAAACUCCGU